UUUAUAUAGUUUAAUUAAAACAUUAUAUUUUCAAUAUAAAAAUAAAUACUUAUUUUUUAUAAAUA
rnacentral:tRNA from 1 species